AUUGAACGCUGGCGGCAUGCCUUACACAUGCAAGUCGAACGGCAGCACGGGAGCAAUCCUGGUGGCGAGUGGCGAACGGGUGAGUAAUAUAUCGGAACGUGCCCAGUCGUGGGGAUAACGUAGCGAAAGCUACGCUAAUACCGCAUACGAUCUAUGGAUGAAAGCGGGGGAUCGCAAGACCUCGCGCGAUUGGAGCGGCCGAUAUCAGAUUAGGUAGUUGGUGAGGUAAAGGCUCACCAAGCCGACGAUCUGUAGCUGGUCUGAGAGGACGACCAGCCACACUGGGACUGAGACACGGCCCAGACUCCUACGGGAGGCAGCAGUGGGGAAUAUUGGGACAAAUGGCGAAAGCCUGAUCCAGCCAUGCCGCGUGUGUGAAGAAGGUCUUCGGAUUGUAAAGGCACUUUAAGUUGGGAGGAAGGGUAGUAACCUAAUAACGUUGCUACUUUGACGUUACCGACAGAAUAAAGCACCGGCUAACUUCGUGCCAG
rnacentral:rRNA from 1 species